UACGUAGGGGGCAAGCGUUGUCCGGAUUUAUUGGGCGUAAAGAGCGUGUAGGCGGCCAUGUAGGUCCGUUGUGAAAACUCGAGGCUCAACCUCGAGACGCCGAUGGAAACCAUGUGGCUAGAGUCCGGAAGAGGAGAGUGGAAUUCCUGGUGUAGCGGUGAAGUGCGCAGAUAUCAGGAAGAACACCCGUGGCGAAGGCGGAUCUCUGGGCCAUUACUGACGCUGAGGAGCGAAAGCGUGGGGAGCGAACAGG
rnacentral:rRNA from 1 species